AGUGGCGCAGCUAACGCGAUAAGUAGACCGCCUGGGGAGUACGGUCGCAAGACUAAAACUCAAAUGAAUUGACGGGGGCCCGCACAAGCGGUGGAGCAUGUGGUUUAAUUCGAUGCAACGCGAAGAACCUUACCUGGCCUUGACAUACAGAGAACUUUCCAGAGAUGGAUUGGUGCCUUCGGGAACUCUGAUACAGGUGCUGCAUGGCUGUCGUCAGCUCGUGUCGUGAGAUGUUGGGUUAAGUCCCGCAACGAGCGCAACCCUUUUCCUUAUUUGCCAGCACUUCGGGUGGGAACUUUAAGGAUACUGCCAGUGACAAACUGGAGGAAGGCGGGGACGACGUCAAGUCAUCAUGGCCCUUACGGCCAGGGCUACACACGUGCUACAAUGGUCGGUACAAAGGGUUGCUACUGCGCGAGCAGAUGCUAAUCUCAAAAAGCCGAUCGUAGUCCGGAUCGCAGUCUGCAACUCGACUGCGUGAAGUCGGAAUCGCUAGUAAUCGCGGAUCAGAAUGCCGCGGUGAAUACGUUCCCGGGCCUUGUACACACCGCCCGUCACACC
rnacentral:rRNA from 1 species